rnacentral:rRNA from 1 species
AUGGUGGCAGUCCUGCAGUUGUGCGUCGAGGAACUCUGCUUGGUGUACCACAUCGCAGCAGCCACAAAAUGGCCCAAGCGCCUCAAACAGUUCCUGCAGGAGGAGAAAUUGUACACAUUUGUCGGUUACAACAUUGGAGGUGACAAGCAGAUGCUGGACAAGUCUGGUUUGGAGAUCAACCCCAACAACUUCAUCGACAUGCAACGCAAGUGGAAAGAUCCAAAGACCAGCAAAUACUACGACUCCUUGGCCGAUGUUGCAGGCGAAGUAAUCCACCCAUUCUUCACCAACAUGAAGAAGAAGUUUGACAAGGGAGAACACAAACUGUGCGGGAUCAGCCCGCUGCCAGACAACCUCAUCACGUACGCAGGAAUAGAUGCGUACGCCACAUACAAGUCAUGGAAGACAAUCGACAACAUCGUGACAGGUUGUGAUAUUUCAGAAGAGCAGGAGGCUGACCCCUACUACCACUACAACUUCGCGGGAUGA